AGCACGAUAAAUUAUAACAAUAGUUUCAAAUUAUUGAUAAUACACAUAAUACACAAUUUAUAAUACAGACUGAUAAAUCCAAUAAUUAAACGCAAUAAAACACGGUUUUCAAUAGAAUCAUAUUAAUCGUAAAACGUAUAAUAGUCUACUUGUAUAAUUAAUGUACAACGCCUCCGUAGGCAUUACGACAGAAUAUGCGGCUGCUGCUGAUAAACCUACAACAAAAACCGGCUUCAAAGAUCGUUAAUCCAUAAACCAUCGACUGUUUUGAUAAAAACCGAUUAAAAAAAAGUUGCCAUCGUGAAAAUCGAUAAGAAUAAAGAACGUUAAACGCACGAAAUGAAAUAUACAAACACGUGAAUACCUUUGGAAUACAGCGUUGAAUGUUUUUGAAAAAACAUUCGGAACACUGUAUCCCCGCGUCCGGCGCUCUCGUCCACAACGAACGUGCAAAAC